CACUCCAAGGAAGACAGAAGGUUAACAAUGGACAGGACCCAAGGGGCAGUCUCUGAGCUGUGAGCCUUCAUCCCUUCCCCUCCAGAGAGAAGCCAACAAUGGGGAAUGAGACUCUGGCCUGUAAUCAGUCCUGGGCUGAAGCCUGGGCGCUGGAGGUUCCCCACGACACACGACUUUUGAGGAGAAUCUGAGAGUUCGGGAAACUUGUCUUUUGGAAUUUGAUGGAACAGGCAUAGGAAGAGCUAUGACAGGAGACAGAUGACCAAGGCUCCUCAGGACCACAUGCUAAACGAACAGAGGUAAGAUGCUGAAGGCAGCUGGUCGAGGCUAGCCAGCAGCACUACAUAAAUGUUGAAAUGUUGUCAACAAUAAAGGAAAAAUGAGCCGUGACACAAAGGCCAAGAAUUCUGUUUCCUUCAGAAGACCUGGAACAACUGGGAACUGACUGAGCAACAGGACAACAGUGUAUACAGGUCGUCAUCCAGUCACCUAUGUUGAGCUUUCUUACCACCUGCAUGUCUGCAUCGGGCACCUGGAUGUAUUUGGAGAGGGUGCAUUUGAUCUGAGUGAUAGUAACUACAGCGAUGUUUUGUGAUGUCUCACAGAAGCACUGUUAGCCAGGUGUAUUCACUGGAGGGAAGAAACCAAUUCCCCACCCCAGUCCACAUGUCCCACUGCCUCCUCGCCAGCAGAACCUCCAGGCAUAGUCAAAGCUCCCUUGCUUUAUCCUUCCUGCUCAGGUCCUAGGAAGUUUUUCAACACUUUUGGGUCCAAAUGCAUAACAGCAUCCUUUGAGACCAUAUUUAGUAAUUUAAAAGUGUUUCUAGUUCUCUAAGAACAUUUCCAACUUACACAUUCAUAAUUUGCUGGGCAGACUUGUUUUACAGAACACAUAUUUAUAAAGGUAGGUGACCGCCUAAAUAAUAAUAAUAUUAAUCAAAUAAAUAAAACAAAUUUAUUAUCAUCAUCAUUUUGAGACUAUAUAACCAUCAUAAGUGCUGGGAUUAAAGGCAUGUUGCCAUCACGAUUGGCUUAAAUUAUUAUUAUUAUUUAUUGAAAUUCAACAAUAAUAUUAAAACAUUGAAAAUGAUACCAAGUGUAACUUUCAUUACUAUUCAUAAUCUCACCAGGAAACAACUACUAAGCAGUAUUUUUCCUUUUGAUCUUUUAAUAGUUUGUAUAUGUAUACAUACUUAUAUAUACACACAUGCAUAUAUAACUUUUCAAAAGUAAGAUUAAGUCCAUAUAUUUAGUUUAUACCUUUCUAUACUUAUCAUUCAUUGCAUCGUAUCAAGAAUUCUUUUGGCCGGGCGUGGUGGUGCACGCCUUUAAUCCCAGCACUUGGGAGGCAGAGGCAGGUGGAUUUCUGAGUUCGAUGCCAGCCUGGUCUACAAAGUGAGUUCCAGGACAGCCAGGGCUAUACAGAGAAACCCUGUCUCGAAAAACCAUUAAAAAAAAAAAAA